rnacentral:rRNA from 1 species
GUGAGGAAUAUUGGUCAAUGGGCGAGAGCCUGAACCAGCCAAGUCGCGUGAAGGAUGAAGGUUUUAUGAAUUGUAAACUUCUUUUGCAGGGGAAUAAAGUACGGUACGUGUACCGUUUUGUAUGUACUCUGCGAAUAAGGAUCGGCUAACUCCGUGCCAGCAGCCGCGGUAAUACGGAGGAUCCAAGCGUUAUCCGGAUUUAUUGGGUUUAAAGGGUGCGCAGGCGGGUUGAUAAGUCAGCGGUGAAAGUUUGCAGCUUAACUGUAAAAUUGCCGUUGAAACUGUCGAUCUUGAGUGCAAAUGAGGUAAGCGGAAUGUGUUGUGUAGCGGUGAAAUGCUUAGAUAUAACACAGAACACCGAUUGCGAAGGCAGCUUACUGGGCAGCAACUGACGCUGAGGCGCGAAAGCCAGGGGAGCAAACGGGAUUAGAAACCCGGGUAGUCC